GGUGACGCAGAGUUAAGCAAUGAGAAGUAAUCACGUUGUCCUUAAUUUGAAUCAAAACUAAGGACAACAUCUGAUGCGGUGUUCCAACAUGUUUCAUUUUGAAGAGUGAAUAGGAUACAUUGCUCUUUUAGGCUUCCACUGCAGAGCAAAUUUUGAAAGGAAGUGUAGCCGCAAUGACCUGCGCCAAGUCACCCGAAUGGUUAAGAUGUUCGCCACAUUGGGAGGCAAUAUUAAGAGGGGAAACGGAAAGGAUCAAUGAGUAUCUGCGUUGCCUCAAUAGAUAAUUGCCUCAUACAUAGAGACAAAAACAAGUUGAAAACAACAGAACCAGAAUCUUAAAAGAAUUCAGCUGUUCCAAGAGAUCACUGCAAGAGACAUCACUCCUGGAGAAAUGCAACUCUUCAUUUAUGUAGCGUUGCUCCUUUCUCAUUUUGAAAGUCAAAGCCCCAUCAAAAUUCCACACAAAUCAGAACUCCUCUCUCCCUCCACCAUAUCUGCAUUCCUGCCUUCAGCUACAAACAUUCAAUUUCUGAACUCACGAGCAUAAGGAUCUGGGAGCAAUAGCAGAUCGCAUAUGAAUUUCAUCUGAUGGAGGGAAUCCACUGCCAGCAGCAAAUGAGGAGUCAGAUAGCAUUGUUCUUUCCAUGAUUCAGUCUUCCACCUUCAUGAAAAAGCGCAGUCUUACCCUCAGCGUCCAGGAUUCAAGCCCCACAAAGAACAUAGAUUCCAGCAAUGAAAACAUCAUCUAAUUAAUGCGAUGCUUUCCUGGUAUAAACUGAUAUUAGAAUGGAAGAAAUGUGUGUGCGGCUCCCUCUGUUGCUGUGUGUGUACUUCUCUUUCUCUCUCACUCUAGGUCUGUUUGUGUGUAUAUUUCAGGGACUGUGAGUGUGGUGUGCAUCUAUUUGUGCUUAUGUAUACGUCUCCCUCCGCCUGUCUGUGUGUUUCCCUGUGUGUCUCGCUCUGUGUGAAUUGUC